rnacentral:rRNA from 1 species
GACGAACGCUGGCGGCGUGCUUAACACAUGCAAGUCGUACGGUAAGGCCCUUUCGGGGGUCCACGAGUGGCGAACGGGUGAGUAACACGUGAGUAACCUGCCCACAACUUUGGGAUAACGCUAGGAAACUGGUGCUAAUACUGGAUAUGUUCUCCUGCUGCAUGGUGGGGGUUGGAAAGCUCCGGCGGUUGUGGAUGGACUCGCGGCCUAUCAGCUUGUUGGUGGGGUAGUGGCCUACCAAGGCGGCGACGGGUAGCCGGCCUGAGAGGGUGACCGGCCACAUUGGGACUGAGAUACGGCCCAGACUCCUACGGGAGGCAGCAGGGGGGAAUAGUGCACAAUGGGCGCAAGCCUGAUGCAGCAACGCCGCGUGCGGGAUGACGGCCUUCGGGUUGUAAACCGCGUUCAGCAGGGACGAAGCUUUUUGUGACGGUACCUGCAGAAGAAGCACCGGCUAACUACGUG